CCUACGGGAGGCAGCAGUGAGGAAUAUUGGUCAAUGGCCGGAAGGCUGAACCAGCCAAGCCGCGUGAGGGAGGAAGGCGCAGAGCGUCGCAGACCUCUUUUGCCGGGGAACAAAAGGCCGGGCUCGUCCGGUCCUGAGGGUCCCCGAAGAAAAAGCAUCGGCUAACUCCGGUCCGUCAGCCGCGGUAAUACGGAGGAUGCGAGCGUUAUCCGGAUUCAUUGGGGUAAAGGGGUGCGCAGGGGGGGCUUUAAGGCGGCGGUGAAAUCGCGGGGCUCAACCCCGCCGAGCCGUGGGAACUGGGGGCCUUGAGUGCGGGGGAGGCAUGCGGAAUGCGUGGUGUAGCGGUGAAAUGCAUAGAUAUCGCGCAGAACCCCGAUUGCGAAGGCAGCGUGCCGUGCCGCCACUGACGCUGAGGCACGAAAGCGCGGGGAUCGAACAGGAUUAGAUACCCGGGUAGUC
rnacentral:rRNA from 1 species